UACGAAGGGGGCUAGCGUUGUUCGGAUUUACUGGGCGUAAAGCGCACGUAGGCGGCUCGUUAAGUCGGGGGUGAAAUCCUGGAGCUCAACUCCAGAACUGCCUUCGAUACUGGCGAUCUUGAGUUCGGGAGAGGUGAGUGGAACUGCGAGUGUAGAGGUGAAAUUCGUAGAUAUUCGCAAGAACACCAGUGGCGAAGGCGGCUCACUGGCCCGAUACUGACGCUGAGGCACGAAAGCGUGGGGAGCAAACAGG
rnacentral:rRNA from 1 species